rnacentral:lncRNA from 1 species
ACUUAGUGGGGUCUGGGGGGGGUAAGAUGUACGCAGUCCAUACCUCUACCUCUGAUGAAGUAGAAAGGCUGUUUUCGAAAGACCCCCGGCUCAAGUCACGAGAUAUCACACAAACACAUAGGACAGCACAGCAGCAGAUGACAUAACAUAGAUACGGCACCCAUAAGGAAUAUAAAACAGAGAAAAAGCAGGAAUAUAAAGCAGAGGAAAGCACACAGAUUCGUAAUAAACAUGGA